AUGACCCGAAUGGCUGAAGAUGUUGUCAUUCGAUACUUGAAUCACAAAGCUGUUGGAAGAGAUGUUCCGGAAGAAUUGAAGUGGAUUAAAGAAGAAAUGGUUCAAGUUCUUGCCACUCCAGUUGUUUGGGUUGUCGGUAAACCAAAUGAAAAAGUCGCGACACUCAUGAUUCAGACCACUUUUCAUGGAUACUUGGCAAGAAUCAACAAACUCGCCAUAGCCAGCAUCAUCAUGCCACAACCGCUUAUACCUCCAUAA